rnacentral:rRNA from 1 species
AGAUUGAACGCUGGCGGCAGGCCUAACACAUGCAAGUCGAGCGGCAGCACGGGUACUUGUACCUGGUGGCGAGCGGCGGACGGGUGAGUAAUGCCUAGGAAUCUGCCUGGUAGUGGGGGAUAACGCUCGGAAACGGACGCUAAUACCGCAUACGUCCUACGGGAGAAAGCAGGGGACCUUCGGGCCUUGCGCUAUCAGAUGAGCCUAGGUCGGAUUAGCUAGUUGGUGGGUAAUGGCUCACCAAGGCGACGAUCCGUAACUGGUCUGAGAGGAUGAUCAGUCACACUGGAACUGAGACACGGUCCAGACUCCUACGGGAGGCAGCAGUGGGGAAUAUUGGACAAGUGGGCGAAAGCCUGAUCCAGCCAAUGCCGCGUGUGUGAAGAAGGUCGUCGUAGUUAGUAAAGCUACUUUUAACGGUGGAAGGUAAGGACUAAGUUACCGUAAUAACGUAUCGUAGUUUAGACGUUACCGACAAGUAAUAAGCACGACUAACGUCUG